rnacentral:tRNA from 2 species
GCCGGGGUGGCGGAAGUCGGUAGACGCAGGGGACUUAAAAUCCCUUGAGCUAACCCAUAGCUCGUGCGGGUUCGAGUCCCGCCCCCGGCA